rnacentral:rRNA from 1 species
UACGUAGGGUGCGAGCGUUGUCCGGAAUUAUUGGGCGUAAAGAGCUCGUGAGGCGGUCUGUCGCGUCGAUCGUGAAAACUUGGGGCUUAACCCUGAGCUUGCGGUCGAUACGGGCAUGACUGGAGUUCGGCAGGGGAGACUGGAAUUCCUGGUGUAGCGGUGAAAUGCGCAGAUAUCAGGAGGAACACCAGUGGCGAAGGCGGCUCACUGGUCCGGUACUGACGCUGAGGUGCGAAAGCGUGGGGAGCAAACAGG